CAGUCGCCGCGGUAAUACGAAGGGUGCAAGCGUUAAUCGGAAUUACUGGGCGUAAAGGGAGCGUAGGCGGAUCGUUAAGUUGGGGGUGAAAGCCCGGGGCUCAACCUCGGAACUGCCUUCAAUACUGGCGAUCUUGAGUAUGAGAGAGGUGUGUGGAACUCCGAGUGUAGAGGUGAAAUUCGUAGAUAUUCGGAAGAACACCAGUGGCGAAGGCGACACACUGGCUCAUUACUGACACUGAGGCACGAAAGCGUGGGGAGCAAACAGGAUUAGAUACCCCAGUAGUCCCUGUCUCUUAUAC
rnacentral:rRNA from 1 species